rnacentral:rRNA from 1 species
UAGGAAAGUCGUAACAAGGUAGCCGUAAGUCGUAACAAGGUAACCGUAAGUCGUAACAAGGUAACCGUAGAGUUUGAUCAUGGCUCAGAUAUAAGUCGUAACAAGUAACCGUAAGUCGUAACAAGGUAACCGUAGAGUUUGAUCAUGGCUCAGGAAAGUCGUAACAAGGUAACCGUAGAGUUUGAUCCUGGCUCAGGAAAGUCGUAACAAGGUAACCGUA